rnacentral:rRNA from 1 species
GAUGAACGCUGGCGGCGUGCUUAACACAUGCAAGUCGAACGAGAAGUGGAGACGGAAACCUUCGGGCGGAAGACUUUAUUUCGAGUGGCGGACGGGUGAGUAACGCGUGGGUAACCUGCCUCAUACAGGGGGAUAACAGUUGGAAACGACUGUUAAUACCGCAUAAGACCACAGCACCGCAUGGUGCGGGGGUAAAAACUCCGGUGGUAUGAGAUGGACCCGCGUUCGAUUAGCCAGUUGGCGGGGUAACGGCCCACCAAAGCGACGAUCGAUAGCCGAUCUGAGGAGAUGACCGGCCACAGGGGGACUGAGUCACGGCCCAAACUCCUACGGGAGGCAGCGGUGGGGAAUAUUGCAAAAUGGGUGAAACCCUGAUGCAGCGACGCCGCGUGAAUGAAGAAGUAUUUCGGUAUGUAAAGCUCUAUCAGCAGGGAAGAAAAUGACGGUGCCUGAGUAAGAAGCCACGGCUAACUACGUG